AGAGUUUGAUCCUGGCUCAGGACGAACGCUGGCGGCGUGCCUAACACAUGCAAGUCGAGCGAUGAAAUCCUUCGGGAUGGAUUAGCGGCGGACGGGUGAGUAACACGUGGGUAACCUGCCUCAAAGAGGGGAAUAGCCUUCCGAAAGGAAGAUUAAUACCGCAUAAUAUGUUUUGGUCGCAUGACUAGAACAUCAAAGGAGCAAUCCGCUUUGAGAUGGACCCGCGGCGCAUUAGCUAGUUGGUGAGGUAACGGCUCACCAAGGGGACGAUGCGUAGCCGACGUGAGAGGGUGAUCGCCCACAUUGGAAGUGAGGCACCGUCCUGAUUCUUUCGGGAGGCGGCAGUGGGGAAUAUUGCCCAAUGGGGGAAACCCAAGGCAGCAACGCCGCGUGAAUGAUGAAGCCCUUCGGGUUAAAAUUCUGUCUCAGGGACGAUAA
rnacentral:rRNA from 1 species